rnacentral:tRNA from 1 species
GUGGAUAUAGCUCAAUUGGUAAAGUGCUUGCUUGACCUGCAGAAAGCUCUGGGUUCAAACCCCAGUGUUUGAUG